CGGUAAUGCACCAAAAAGUUGUUUUCCAACCGCCAAUAAACCUUAAUAGAAGAAGAAGACGUCAAGACGAUCGAGGCACGGACUGUACGCUGUUAUCCUCAACUACUUCACCGAGAUCGGUGUUGGACCGGCGAACACUUUAGGCCUGUUAUCAGAGGACUUGCUAACAUGAAGAAAACGGUCCAGAGAAGCACUGAGGGAACGAGAGACAGUGAAGACAGACCUCAUAUCAAGAAGAGAUCGAACCAUCGCAUUCUUCAUCAGCUGUAAACGAAAUGGACCCAAUCAUUGAACCAGUGAUUUUGGCAAACUCAAAAUUCUCCAUUGACCUGUUAAAAGAGCUCUGUCGGGGCAACACAGACAAUGUGUUAUUCUCACCCCUGAGCAUCUCCUCUGCAUUGGGCCUGGUCCUCCUGGGUGCCAAGAACAACACUGCUGAUCAGAUGCUUAAGGUGCGCUUAAACCUCCAAAUAGCUCUAU